GACGACCGCUGGCGGCGUGCUUAACACAUGCAAGUCGAACGGAAAGGCCUGCUUUCCCUUGUGGAUUGCGGGUACUCGAGUGGCGAACGGGUGAGUAACACGUGAGUGAUCUGCCCCCAACUUGGGUAUAAGCCUGGGAAACUGGGUCUAAUUCCCGAUAGGACUGCAGGGUGGUGCCUGUGGUGGAAAACGAUUUUCUAGUGGUUGGGGAUGAGCUCGCGGCCUAUCAGCUUGUUGGUGGGGUAAUGGCCUACCAAGGCGGCGACGGGUAGCCGGCCUGAGAGGGUGGACGGCCACAUUGGGACUGAGAUACGGCCCAGACUCCUACGGGAGGCAGCAGUGGGGAAUAUUGCACAAUGGGCGGAAGCCUGAUGCAGCGACGCCGCGUGGGGGAUGACGGCCUUCGGGUUGUAAACUCCUUUCGACCGCGAGGAAGCCACCUGGUUGGAAGGGUGGUGACGGUAGUGGUAGAAGAAGCACCGGCUAACUACGUG
rnacentral:rRNA from 1 species